GAGACACCCUUAUGUGGCAGGACUUGCUUCAGUGGGGCUUUGGUGCUCACUGAGUCUGCCCCUUGAGUGUGUCGCU
rfam:Myotis lucifugus cont2.552, whole genome shotgun sequence.